rnacentral:rRNA from 1 species
AAGGUCCGAGCGUUGUCCGGAAUCAUUGGGCGUAAAGGGUACGUAGGCGGGUAAGCAAGUUAGAAGUGAAAUCCUAUAGCUCAACUAUAGUAAGCUUUUAAAACUGUUUAUCUUGAGGUAUGGAAGGGAAAGUGGAAUUCCUAGUGUAGCGGUGAAAUGCGCAGAUAUUAGGAGGAAUACCGGUGGCGAAGGCGACUUUCUGGCCAUAACCUGACGCUGAGGUACGAAAGCGUGGGUAGCAAACAGGAUUAGAUACCCUGGUAGUC